rnacentral:rRNA from 1 species
CCCUUAGAUGUCCUGGGCCGCACGCGCGCUACACUGAACGGAUCAGCGCGUUUUCCCUUCCCGAGAGGGACGGGUAACCUGCUGAACCCCGUUCGUGGUAGGGAUCGGGGCUUGCAAUUAUUCCCCGUGAACCAGGAAUGCCCAGUAAGUGCAAGUCAUAAGCUUGCGUUGAUUACGUCCCUGCCCUUUGUACACACCGCCCGUCGCUACUACCGAUUGAACGUUUUAGUGAGGUACUCGGACUGAGCCUCAGAAGAUUCACGUCUUUUGUGCUGCUCGGGAAGAUUCCCAAACAUGAGCGUUUAGAGGAAGUAAAAGUCGUAACA